AAGCCCCGGCAGGAAUUCUCCUGCUUCUCGAGGUUUGCAAUCUCGCGUGGAAACACCCCGAGGC
rnacentral:tRNA from 1 species